rnacentral:tRNA from 1 species
GCUCAGGUCGCAUAGCUUGGUAGUGCGCUGGUCUGCUAAACCAGUGUCCAACGGACUCGUGGGUUCGAAUCCCACCCUGAGCG